GACAGAGGGUGCAAACGUUGUUCGGAAUUACUGGGCGUAAAGGGCUCGUAGGCGGCCAACUAAGUCUGAUGUGAAAUCCCCAGGCUUAACCUGGGAACUGCAUCCGAUACUGGAUGGCUUGAGUCCGGGAGAGGGAUGCAGAAUUCCAGGUGUAGCGGUGAAAUGCGUAGAUAUCUGGAGGAAUACCGGUGGCGAAGGCGGCACGCUGGACCGGCACUGACGCUGAUGAGCGAAAGCUAGGGGAGCAAACGGG
rnacentral:rRNA from 1 species